CGGCAGGCUUAACACAUGCAAGUCGAGGGGCUUCGGGAGGGAAGCUUGCUUUCCUUGCCGGCGACCGGCGCACGGGUGAGUAACACGUAUGCAACCUGCCCUCUUCAGGGGGACAACCUUCCGAAAGGGAGGCUAAUCCCGCGUAUAUCGGUUUCGGGCAUCCGAGAUCGAGGAAAGAUUCAUCGGAAGAGGAUGGGCAUGCGGCGCAUUAGCUAGACGGCGGGGUAACGGCCCACCGUGGCGACGAUGCGUAGGGGUUCUGAGAGGAAGGUCCCCCACACUGGUACUGAGACACGGACCAGACUCCUACGGGAGGCAGCAGUGAGGAAUAUUGGUCAAUGGGAGAGAUCCUGAACCAGCCAAGCCGCGUGAGGGAAGACGGCCCUAUGGGUUGUAAACCUCUUUUGUCGGAGAACAAAACCCGGGACGUGUCCCGGACUGCGUGUAUCCGAAGAAAAAGCAUCGGCUAACUCCGUGCCAGCAGCCGCGGUAAUACGGAGGAUGCGAGCGUUAUCCGGAUUUAUUGGGUUUAAAGGGUGCGUAGGCGGUCCGUUAAGUCAGCGGUAAAAUUGCGGGGCUCAACCCCGUCGAGCCGUUGAAACUGGCAGACUUGAGUUGGCGAGAAAGUACGCGGAAUGCGCGGUGUAGCGGUGAAAUGCAUAGAUAUCGCGCAGAACUCCGAUUGCGAAGGCAACGUACCGGCGCCAGACUGACGCUGAGGCACGAAAGCGUGGGGAU
rnacentral:rRNA from 1 species